GCCAGCUCCGGAAGCAUUUGACGGCUGAGGACCACUGGAGGACUGGUUUUACGUUUUGAAACGCAAAGAUAUUCGUAUUUCUUAUUUAUUUAGUUCCGUUCAGUGCACUUUAGUGAUUGAAUUGAUGAAUUGAAAAGAAACAAAGAUGAAAAUUAUGUUUCUACUGAUUCAUAAACAAGUAAAAGAAAGGAAUCUGAAUUUAAGAUAUCUGAGUACAAUUAGUUUGAUUAAUUCAUGAACACUUUCAACAGAAAACUUGUUAACAAUGGUAGGAAACACUUCAGAGUAGUUAACAACUUUGAGGAUCUUGUGCGCUAAUGUUUCUAACACAUUAUGUUGAUUGGAGAGUGCAGAUAACUUUUCUACAACAACGGAAUGAAAAAAUGUUUCAGCUGUGUGAAUCAAGGUCUGGACUUAGAGGAUCAUCACACGAGUUAAACAAGGAAUUUCUUCUGGUUGGACAUUUAACAAGUUUCUCAGUUUUCAGUACAAUGUAGCCAGCAAUGUAUGCUAGGCAUUGGUUGGUGAAGUGGUCUUUCAACUGACUAGCAUGGAAUUCCUCAUCAGAACAUAUUACUUCAAUAUCCAUCAUGAUAUCCUGAUCAACUGUGAGUUCGUUAACAUCAGAUACAUUAUCUACUGGCAUAAGGGAACAGUUGGAUGACAGUGAAGGGAGCAUUUGGAUUAUUAUUCAAUCCACAACGAAGUCGAAUGAUCCCAAAAAAGUGUUCCAAUGGGUCCUGCUGCAUGUGCCUAGUGGCUACAUAACUCAAUGGGUUGUUCUGCCGAUGAAGAAGCUGGUGGGCUAGAGUUAUAGUUGAUCGUAUCGUUGCGAUAAAUCCAAUAAUACAGGUUUUCCUUCUACUUGUGUAGACUAAUCUGCCACUUGGAAGUUUUAGUUUAGCUAAAAAGAGCGCUAACUCAUUAAGCUCUUUAGUCUUCUCCUCUAGGUUUUCUUUGGUAAGAACCGCUUUGUCACCAUUUGCUUGAACAUUCCAUGAGUUCAGGAUAUCGAAAAGCUUAUUGAAUUGCCGACAGAACUGUUCGGUGGCCUCACUUCCUUGAAACUAUGUUACCUGAGGAACUUUUAGUACUUCUCGUAAAUGUCGGAGCACAUCUGCCACGGAUCUACUCAAAACUUGAGCAGCGAGAGCCACCUUCAUCUUAUGUCGCUCGAAGUAUGCGUGUUGUCUUGUAAGUCGAUUACCGAGACGAAAUCCAGCCUCAUUUUGGAAUUGAAAGAGAGCCUUGAUGUACUUCCACUGUGCUGGAUCUUGAUAUCCAGGUAACUUCACCGGUGAAAAAGACAGUAGAUUCCUUGCCAACUUCAGCAUGUGGCACGCAUCAAGUAAAACAUUUACUGGUUCUCCGGUAGAAGGAUGCACGAAGUUUGGUUUAAACGGGCAAGUCAAU